rnacentral:rRNA from 1 species
CCUACGGGCGGCAGCAGUGAGGAAUAUUGGUCAAUGGACGAGAGUCUGAACCAGCCAAGUAGCGUGAAGGAUGACUGCCCUAUGGGUUGUAAACUUCUUUUAUAUGGGAAUAAAACGUUCCACGUGUGGGAUUUUGUAUGUACCAUAUGAAUAAGGAUCGGCUAACUCCGUGCCAGCAGCCGCGGUAAUACGGAGGAUCCGAGCGUUAUCCGGAUUUAUUGGGUUUAAAGGGAGCGUAGGUGGAUUGUUAAGGCAGUUGUGAAAGUUUGGGGCUCAACCGUAAAAUUGCAGUUGAAACUGGCAGUCUUGAGUGCAGUAGAGGUGGGCGGAAUUCGUGGUGUAGCGGUGAAAUGCUUAGAUAUCACGAAGAACUCCGAUUGCGAAGGCAGUUCACUGGACUGCAACUGACACUGAGGCUCGAAAGUGUGGGUAUCAAACAGGAUUAGAUACCCUGGUAGUC